GCGCGUCAGCGGGGUCGGUGAAAUUCCGAGCCGGCGGUGAGCGGCGACAGCCGCGAGUCCGCGACCCGUCCGCAUCCAGCGGACGGUUGACCUGGUGAGAAUCCAGGACCGACGGUCAAAGUCCGGAUGGGAGCAGACGCAA
rnacentral:ncRNA from 1 species